rnacentral:rRNA from 1 species
UGCGUGAACAGCGGAGGGAUCAUUA